rnacentral:lncRNA from 1 species
GAUUAUCUCUCCGGCAACGUCUUCCUGGUGGUGGAAGUGGUGAACACUGAAGGCCAAGUAACAAGUUAGCAAAAUGGGACCUGGUGGACCGGGAGGAGGGCCGGGAGGACCUGGUGGACCGGGAGGAUGGGGAGGAGGACCUGGUGGUUGGGGUCCUGGCCCCGGAGGACCUGGCGGAUUUGGGCCUGGAGGUCCUGGUUGGGGUCCGGGACCUGGAGGUCCUGGUUGGGGUCCGGGACCUGGAGGUCCCUGGGGCCCUGGAUUUGGAGGUCCUGGUUUUUGGCCUGGUGGGUUCUUUGGCGGCUUUGCAGAUGGUUUGUGCAAUAUGAUAUCUUCCUGGUAAGCAAUCAAAUCUUUACUCAAUUCCGGUAUAGUUAAAUGCGGUUUGAUUGAGGUUAAAUUUGAUUGGGAUUGCAGCUUCUACUGU